UUGCAUCAAUCAGUGCUUUCUUCUUCCUAGGAAUGGAUGUUGAAUGGAUCCAGGAAUUUCAGAAAGUGCUGCCAGAGUUGGACCACGAAAAACUGAUGACCAUUACAGGACACCUUUCAUCUGUGGUUGGAGUAACAAAGAAGGAGGACCUUGCUUUUGUGGAGAAGGAAGACUUCCAAGAAUAUCUGACACCCAUACAGUGCCGAAAAGUAAUCCAGGCCUUCAAACAAAGAGAACUGAAUGACAAAGGGACCAGUGAAGUCACCAUCACUCUAAGUGAAGAGACGCCUCCCCUUUCAUCUGUUCUUCUUGAGAAUAAAUCCAGAAGAUGGAACAAAAUGCACCGCACGGACUGGAGUGAGUCGGAAGACUGGAGUGUUGGUGAAGCGGAAGACAGCCACUAUAAACAACAGAGUGCUGUCCUUUCUUCGCCAGCUAACAGACUUUGAGUGGAAGAACUUGAAUUAGGUUCUGUGUAGCUGCAGCUGAAGACAAAUACAAUCUCAUGAAAUGGGGCUACACCCUGUCCAGGUUCAUCAUCCAUUACACACACAAAGAACCACAUGCACAUUCAUUCUUUGCUGGACUGUCAUUUAGAAUGUAAGCCUGCACCUAACAGUCAAUAUAAGGUUCAUUUGAUCAAUUUAUGUUUAUGUAAGGUUCUUCUUUUGUUCCUUUUUGAGUGCAAUCAAAUUCUUACAAAAGAGGUUGAACGGUUAUACUGUUUAAUGCUGUUUCUAUUGUUUGUUACAACUGUUGUUCUUUGAACUACUGAUUUUUAUAAUAUGACUUGAAUUUGAAUGAAUAACAACUUUACUAAAUGUUUGAACUGGA